UUCCGGUUGAUCCCGCCGGAGGCUACCGCUAUUGGAGUUCGAUUAAGCCAUGCGAGUCGCGAGUCUUAGGGACUCGGCGUACCGCUCAGUAACACGUGGGUAACCUGCCCUAUGCUGGGGGAUAACCUCGGGAAACUGAGAAUAAUACCCCAUAGUUCACCACGCCUGGAACGGUGGGUGGAUGAAAGCUCCGGCGGCAUAGGAUGGGCCUGCGGCGUAUCAGGUUGUAGGGGGUGUAAUGUACCCUCUAGCCAUCUACGCGUACGGGUGUUGGGAGACAUCGCCCGGAGAUGGAUUCUGAGACACGAAUCCAGACCCUACGGGGUGCAGCAGGCGCGAAAACUUGGCAAUGCGAGCAAUCGUGACCAGGGAACUCCAAGUGCAUCGGGUAAGACCGAUGCUUUUCUUGACUCUUCAAAGGUCUUGGAAUAAGGGGUGGGUAAGGACGGUGCCAGCCGCCGCGGUAAUACCGGCGCCUCAAGUGGUAGUCGCUUUUAUUGGGCCUAAAACGUCCGUAGCCGGUUUGGUACAUUCGUGGGUAAAUCAAGGCGCUCAACGUCUUGAAUUCUGCGAGCACGGCCAGACUUGGGACCGGGAGAGGUGUGGGGUACUCUCAGGGUAGGGGUAAAAUCCUGUCAUCCUGAGAGGACCACCUGUUGCGAAGGCGCCACACUAGAACGGAUCCGACGGUCAGGGACGAAACCUAGGGGCACGAACCGGAUUAGAUACCCGGGUAGUCCUAGGUGUAAACGCUGUGGACUUGAUGUUGGGAGUGCUCCGAGCACCCUCAGUGUCGAAGCGAAGGUGAUAAGUCCACUGCCUGGGGAGUACGGUCGCAAGGCUGAAACUUAAAGGAAUUGGCGGGGGAGCACUGCAACCUGAGGAUUGUGCGGUUUAAUUGGAUUCAACGCCGG
rnacentral:rRNA from 1 species